rnacentral:rRNA from 1 species
UACGGGAGGCAGCAGUGGGGAAUAUUGCGCAAUGGGCGCAAGCCUGAUGCAGCCAUGCCGCGUGUAUGAAGAAGGCCUUCGGGUUGUAAAGUACUUUCAGUCGUGAGGAAGGUGUUAAGGUUAAUAACCUUAGCAAUUGACGUUAGCGACAGAAGAAGCACCGGCUAACUCCGUGCCAGCAGCCGCGGUAAUACGGAGGGUGCGAGCGUUAAUCGGAAUUACUGGGCGUAAAGGGCACGCAGGCGGUUAAUUAAGUUGGAUGUGAAAUCCCCGGGCUUAACCUGGGAAUGGCAUUCAAGACUGGUUAGCUAGAGUCUUGUAGAGGGGGUAGAAUUCCAUGUGUAGCGGUGAAAUGCGUAGAGAUGUGGAGGAAUACCGGUGGCGAAGGCGGCCCCUGGACAAAGACUGACGCUCAUGUGCGAAAGCGUGGGGAGCAAAC